UGUUAAAUAUUUUAUUCAUUUUAAUGUUAAAAACUAGUAUAGUUGACAGAAUAAUCAAACAUUUACACGUGGCGUGCCAUGUGUCCCUCAUCCUGAUGUAUAGGGACCAAAUUUUAAUAGUAAAAAUAGAUUGAAUUUUUCGAUA
rfam:Gossypium raimondii Chr11_contig_27, whole genome shotgun sequence.